UUACGGUCAUAUCACGUUGAAACACCGGUUCUUGUAAGAUCACCGAAGUUAAGCAACGUCGAGCCUGGUCAGUAUCUAGAUCGGUGACUGUUUCGGAAUACCAGGUAAUGUA